rnacentral:sRNA from 1 species
GUUACCCGCCUCUCCUCCCAGUUCCAAGGGAGAUUCACAGUAAGUGUGUGGAACGACAUGCCUCUAGGCAUCUCCUGCGGGGAGGGCACGGUCUACAUUUUCCUGCUGCUGCUCACGGCGUAGCAAAUGGUGUCCAGGAUGCUUGGCUAACAGGAGCCCAUGGUCUAUGGCAUGGUAUGGUCAGGGCAGGCUGAACACAACACCAGAAAAUUCCACUGCGCAGUUCUGCUUCUGGCUAACUGUUCUAGAGAACAUGGAUUAAAUGGAUUAAAUGCUUAAGAGCUUACCCUGAGAAAGGCUCAAGGCUAUACUGGAAUCCCAAACACUCCAUGUAGUUGCCAGCCAACUAAAGUUAGGACCGCAACUGUUAAACACCAGCGACCAGGAUAGUCCUGUCUCGUGGUGCAGCAAGACAAUGACCGAAGCAAUCUGGCAAAGAGACUCUGCAAUGUCUCCUUACCUAAGGCCUGUCCAGGCUAACAGAAGCCAACUUAAGAAUGCACAUGUAGGGCUGGA